CUUGGGGAUGGUUGACAGUUGCUCAGGUUCUGCAAAGGCUGAAGGAGAACUUGGGCUUUAGGAGGUGCUAGGAAGCUGCUGAAGGGCUGGAAGCGGAUCAGGGGGUUUAAAUGCAGGGAGCGGAUAGAAGGGAGCAAUGUGGGAGGCUGGGAACAGGGGCACUGUGAACAGAAGGCCUGAGCUGGGACUCGCCCCCCAGAACUAGGGUGGAAAAUCUGACCUCCUUACCUCCUGAAGUCCAUUGCGUUAGCCAAUAGAGCACUUGACACACAGAAGCAGAUGCCGGCCGGUCUUGUCCCCAGGAGUGGGAUAGCUUGCUAUCAGCCCUACCGGGCCUUUUCUGGUGUCGGAGACAGACACAACAGAGCUGGAAAAAUGACACCAGAGGCCGGAGAGGUGGCAGAGUCCUUAAGAACACUUGCUGCUCUAACAGAGGACACAGGUGAACCCACACUUCAGCUCAGGCCUGCUUGUAACUCCAGUUCCAGGGGAUCCGACGCCCUCUUCUGGCCUCCAGAGACAUUGCACACACGGUGCACAUAAAGCA
rnacentral:lncRNA from 1 species